UACGUGAGGGGCAAGCGUUGUCCGGAAUCAUUGGGCGUAAAGCGCGUGUAGGCGGUUCGAUAAGUCUGCUGUGAAAGUCCAGGGCUCAACCCUGGAAAGCCGGUGGAUACUGUCGGACUAGAGUGCGGAAGAGGCGAGUGGAAUUCCCGGUGUAGCGGUGAAAUGCGCAGAUAUCGGGAGGAACACCAAUUGCGAAGGCAGCUCGCUGGGACGUUACUGACGCUGAGACGCGAAGCGUGGGGGCAAACAGG
rnacentral:rRNA from 1 species